UACGGGGGGGGCAAGCGUUGUUCGGAAUUACUGGGCGUAAAGGGCUCGUAGGCGGCCAACUAAGUCGGAUGUGAAAUCCCCAGGCUUAACCUGGGAACUGCAUCCGAUACUGGAUGGCUUGAAUCCGGGAGAGGGAUGCGGAAUUCCAGGUGUAGCGGUGAAAUGCGUAGAUAUCUGGAGGAACACCGGUGGCGAAGGCGGCAUCCUGGACCGGCAUUGACGCUGAGGAGCGAAAGCCAGGGGAGCGAAACGGGG
rnacentral:rRNA from 1 species